UCCAGACUCCUACGGGAGGCAGCAGUGGGGGAUAUUGCACAAUGGGGGAAACCCUGAUGCAGCGACGCCGCGUGGGUGAAGAAGCGCCUCGGCGCGUAAAGCCCUGUCAGCAGGGAAGAAAAUGACGGUACCUGAGUAAGAAGCCCCGGCUAACUACGUGCCAGCAGCCGCGGUAAUACGUAGGGGGCAAGCGUUAUCCGGAUUUACUGGGUGUAAAGGGAGCGUAGACGGUGAGACAAGUCUGAAGUGAAAGCCCGGGGCUCAACCCCGGGACUGCUUUGGAAACUGCCUGACUGGAGUGCUGGAGAGGCAAGCGGAAUUCCUAGUGUAGCGGUGAAAUGCGUAGAUAUUAGGAAGAACACCAGUGGCGAAGGCGGCUUGCUGGACAGCAACUGACGCUGAGGCGCGAAAGCGUGGGGAGCAAACAGGAUUAGAUACCCGAGUA
rnacentral:rRNA from 1 species